GGAAUUGCUAGUAAUCGCAGAUCAGCAUGCUGCGGUGAAUACGUUCCCGGGCCUUGUACACACCGCCCGUCACACCAUGGGAGUCGGUAACACCCGAAGUCGGUAGCCUAACCGUAAGGAGGGCGCCGCCGAAGGUGGGAUUGAUGACUGGGGUGAAGUCGUAACAAGGUACC
rnacentral:rRNA from 1 species